rnacentral:rRNA from 1 species
CACGUGAGAAUUUACCUUUAGGAGGGGAAUAACAGUUCGGAAACGAUUAGUCUAAUGCCGCAUAUCAUUUAUAUGAAAGAAGAAAUUUCGCCUAAAAGUAAAAGCUUAGCGUCUGAUUAGCUAGUUGGUAAGGGUAAAGGCCUACCAAGGCGACGAUCAGUAGCUGGGUUUGGAGAGGACGACCAGUCACCACUGGAACUGAGACACGGUCCAGACUCCUACGGGAGGCAGCAGUGGGGAAUUUUCCGCAAUGGGCGAAAGCCUGACGGAGCAAUACCGCGUGAGGGAUGACAGCCUGUG